rnacentral:tRNA from 1 species
GCUGUGACUCAGUGGUAGAGUGCUUGCCUAGGAUGUAAGACCCUGGGUUUGAUUCUCAGCACUGCA